AAGUCGUAACAAGGUUUCCGUAGGUGAACCUGCGGAAGGAUCAUUAUUGAAUAUUCCUGAUGAGUUGUAGCUGGCUCUUUGGAGCAUGUGCACGCUUGUCUUGAUCUUAUUCAUCCACCUGUGCACAUUUUGUAGUCUUUUGGGCUGAGUCGAGUAUCGGAUGGAUGUCUAUCCGGAUGUGAGGACUGCUGAGUGCGAAAGCAUACGGCUCUUCUCUGUUUGACCUCACCCUUGAGUACUAUGUAUUCAUAUACCACAUAAUAGUAUGUUGUAGAAUGUGAUCAUUGGGCCUUUGUGCCUAUAAUAAUCAUAUACAACUUUCAGCAACGGAUCUCUUGGCUCUC
rnacentral:misc_RNA from 1 species